GGAUAAAUCCCAAAAAGUACAAUAGCUGGAUCAUAUGAUGCUUGAAUGCUCAGUUUUAUAAGAAACUGCCAAAGUAUAUUCAAGAGUGGUUGUACCAUUUAACGUUCCCACCGGCAAUUUAUAAGUGAUUCUUUUCUCCUGCAUCUUUGCCAUCCCAUGGGAUCAUCACUAUUUUUCAUUUUACCCAUUUGGAUGGGUAUGUUUUGAUAUCUGUAUAAAUUGCAGUUUAAACAUGUUUCCAUGGAGACUAAUGAUGACGAACACCUUUUCAUGUGCUUAUUUCAUAUGUAUAUCCUAUUUCUUGAAAUGUCUCUUCAUCUCUUUUGCCCAGUUCCCAUCAGAUUGUUUGUUUUAGUUUAAUAAAACUACACUAGUUCAGUUUUUAGCUUAAUUUUGGUUUUUAGUUUGAUGAUUUAUACAAAUUCCCAACUGAUUGCUGUAUCGUGAUCUUUUCAUUUUGCAACCUUGCUGGCUCACCUGGUACUUUUAUUGGUGUUUUAUUAGAUUUGCUAGGAUACACAAUCACUCAACUGUUCUCCCUUGGAUUUUAGCUCUCAAGCACUGAUAGGCUGAUAGCUUCCAAUUUUCUUAAAACCCCACUGGCUUCUCUGCAUAUUAGCAGUCACACCUCGGCACUCCAGAAUCUCUCUCAGCACCGUGGCGAGGUCAAUUCAACAAAUGUUUAUUGACUACUUACUAUAUGAGGCUAUUUCCAGGGUGUCUUACUGUCCAACCAUGAAAUCAGAGCCACCCGUGUGUUUAAUCUUACAACACAAGAAUGCCAGGACAAGAUUCUCGUCUCCUCCAUGAGCUUCUGCUCCUCCUCUUGCCCCAGAUAUCUGCCCUUUGACCUUCUCAGGAACAGCAGCAGCUGCCUCCCAGCAACGUUAGCAGCUUCUUCAUCACCACCAUCUUUUACUGGAGGAGAGAUAAUAGUCACCAAGAUCAACUUUGGCUGAAUUUUAAAAAUAACGAAAAAAAAUCAAAGUUCUCUUAGAUUUUCUGUCAAUUGCUUUA
rnacentral:lncRNA from 1 species